rfam:Helianthus annuus linkage group 1, whole genome shotgun sequence.
AGGCUAUGAUGAUUUAAACGUAUAUACCAUCAAACUCUGAAAGCUUCAAGCUAUUUUGAUGAAUUUCAACAUUACACUGAGCCU